UUCUCUGAUGACUUUCCCUUGUGCUCUGCUGAUACCUGGGUCUCUAGGCACACGUUUCUAGGGUUUAUUUCCUGGUACAUUCCAUGCAUUUAUCAGCGCUUUUCAAGUGCUUGGCAAUGUCUUAAGGUUCUGACUUUCCCUCUUAUCUCUGCACUUUCUCCCUCUGCUAUUUCAUCCGGCCUCAAAGCUUUAAUUAUCAGCGCUCUUCAUCCUCUCCUUAGCGGCCACUGCCUUAAUAUAUAUCCUUAUCAUUUCUUUCCUGGACGUUCACAAACCUGCCUAAAUAAUCUUCCUGCUGACACUUAUUAACUACCUCUUAUCCUAUAAAAACUAUCUUUCCCCACCUUUCUCUCUUUCCUUUAUUUCUCUUAUAUUUAAUAUAAAAUGUUUCAAAAUUUCCCCAAAUUUAGAAAAUUGGAAAGAGUCAAAGUCAAGCAUUUCAGCUUUAGUGGGCUUUCUGCCAGAAUUUCUUGAGGUACAGGUUUUUAAAAGAGGAAUGAAGGGGAGAGAAUUUUUUUCAGCCUUUGAAAAUUAGAUAAGUCUUGUCCAUUUAAAUUGCUCCAACAUAUGAAGAAGGAAUCUUUCAAAUACUUUUUGGGAAGACAGCAACAUACUGAUAAGAAACCUGACAGAAAUAUCUCACAAAAAGAAAUAAGUUCCCUCCUGUGUAGCGGGUUAAGGAUCCUGCAUUGCCGCAGCUGAGGCACAAGUUUGAUCCCUGGCCUGGGAACUUUUACAUAUCCCAGUUGCAGAAAAAAAAAAAAAAGGAAAAAAAAGAUCAGUCUCACUUGUGGAAAUUAUGCAAAAAUACCAAAAAAAAAAAAUGAGCAAAUAUAAUAUGGUAGAAAAGUUAAAAUGAUAAAUAAAGGACUGCAAGAAUGAUUUAAUAGUAAGCACUUUCUUGAAUUAAAAUAGCUUAUUACUAGGACAGGGAUCAAUUUUAAUCAUUGCUUCAAAUAAUGCCAAAUUAGACCUUUGAUAAAAUCCAAAUCCAAAUUGCAUUCCUACCUAAAAAGAACUCUGAGCAUAAACAGGAUCAAAUGACACUUCCUUGACAUACUAAUCUCAUUUCAAAGCAUCAUGCUUAAUAGCGAAAAAAAAAAAUGUGAAAAACUUCCCUUGAAAAGGGAAACAAAAAAUGAAAUUUCAGUUUACUCUUGUUUGCAAAGUACCAAACAAAGCAUUUAGAGAAAUAUAAAGUACCAGUAUAAGAAAUAAAGUAAACUUAUAGCUACUUGUGGAUAAUUUGCCAGCAUGCAUGGAAAAGUUAAGAUUAUCAACUGAAGGAAAACAAUAGAAAUAUAAGAUUUUAUUCAGUAUAUUUGCAUAAUUUUCACAAGUAAGACUACUUGUAGUUUUCUUGGGAUGAGUUAUCUAUGAAAUAGUGCUCAUUGGCUUUGCAAAUAGAAUUUGGAAGUGAUUCUUCUUUUUGUUUUGGAACUAUUUUAAUACCCUGAAUUUAUCUGAUCUUUGAAGUUGGAACAAUUUACAUGCUAACAAACAAAAAAAGCAGAAACCUAUGUCUGUUAAAAACUUGGUAGGAAACUAAUAAAGUAGUUACAAAAUAAUUACUCAAAAGUCAAUAGCUUUUCUAUACAAAAAUAACCAGACAAUAUAAUGGAUUUAAGAGUACUAGCUCUAACAACAAAAUUUUAUCCAAUUUUAUGGAUAAAAUUCAAAUGACUUAUUCAGAACAUAUAGACACUCAUUCCAAAAAAAAAGAAAAUUUUAAGAUUUCUUAAAAUCUUACGUUGAGAGCUAUUAAGGUGAUGAAUAAUUAAAAGGUAUAUCUUGAUAUUGGAUAGAAAGUGUCAAAAUGUAAAAGAAUCUUAAUAAUUAAAUUUCUAAAUUUGAUGGGGUCCCAUGCCAUUGAAAACUAUUAAAAAGUUUAGGAUUCAGGAGAGCCGGGCUUUAAAGAUAUUAGAUGGUUAGAGUUGAUAUUUGAUAGGGGUUUAAUACUAAAAUAUAUAUGUUGUAAAACUUAAUAGCAAAAAAUAUACAGUUGACCCUUGAACAACAUGAGUUUGAACUGUGUGGGUCCACUUACACUUGAAUUUUCUUUUUCAACAAAUACUACUGCAGUACUACAUGAUCUAUAGUUGGUUGAAUCUGAAGAUACAGAAUGUGGACAUAGUGGGCCAACUAUAAAGUUCUAUAUGAAUUUUCAACUGCAGGAGCGUCUAUUCCACUAACCCCUUCAUUGUUUCAAGGGUCAACUGUAAUCUGAUUUAAAUAUGGUCAAAGAACAUGAAUGGACAUUUUUCCAAAGAAGGCAAACAAGUGGCCAACAGGUAUACGAAAAGAUACUAACCAUCACUAAUCAUAGUGGAAAUAAAAAGCAAAAUCACAAUGAGAUAGCACCUCACACCUGUUAGGACAGCUCUCCUCAAAACGUCUAGAGAUAACAAAUGUUGGCAAGGAUGCAGAAAAAAGAAAACCCUUGCACAAUGCUGAUGGGAAUGUAAAUUGGCACAGCCACUAUGGAAAACAUUAUAAAGAUUCCUCGAACAAUUAAAAAAAGGACUAUCCUGUGAUACAGCAAUCCCACUUCCAGGUGUAUAUUUGGAAGGAAACAAAAUCAGUAGCUUGGAGAGAUAACUGUCCUCCCCUGUUCUUUGUGAACAUUCACAAUGACCUAUUGAAACAACCUGAGUAUCUGUUGAUGGAUGAAUGAUAAAGAAAAUGUGAAAUAUACAUUUUUAUACACUGAAAUGUUAUUUGUCCUUUAAAAGAAGAAAAGCCUGCAUUUGUGACAACAUAGAUGAACCUGGAAGGCAUUAUGCUAAGUGAAACAAGCCAGAAGGAGAAAGACAAAUAGUAGAUGACCCCAUUUAUACAUGAGGGGAAAAAAGCCCAACUCAUAGAAACAGAGAGUAGAAUGGUGCUUACCAGCACUAGGAGUGAGGGCAAUGGGGAAAUAUCAGGAAAAAUACAAACUUUCAGCUAUAAGAUGAAUAAGUUCUGGGGAUCUAAUGUACAGCGUGAGGACUGUAGUUAAUUACAUUAUAUUGUAAACUUAAAAUUUGCUAAGAGAGUAAAUCUUAAGCAUUCUCAUCACACAAAAAGUAAAUAAAUACUAGAUUACUCUGAAGUUCAUCUGGAAGAAAAUGAACAUGUGAGAAUAGCUAAGAUAAACAUGAAAACAUGGGAGUAAUGAGAAAAGACAAGCACUGUCAGCAUUUUAAAAUCUUUAAAAUCAUAGUAUUUAAAAUAGCAUUAUACCAGUAGAGGAGUGAACAGACACAGAAAUGAAACGGAAUCCAGAAAUAGAUCUAAAUGCAUAACGUGAUUUAGUCUAUGAUAAAGAUGGAAUUUUUAGCUAGUGGAGUAAAGAUGAAUUAUUUAAUAAACUGUAUUUGAAAAUAGACUAAUUGCUGGAAAACUUAUCUGGAUCACUGGUUAAUUCCUUACAACAAACUUAAUUCUAGAGCAAUAAAAAAUUUAGGUUUUAUUUAAAAAAAAAAUAAGACUUUAAAAAUACCUAGAAGAGGAGUUCCCAUCAUGGCUCAGUGGAAAUGAAUCUGACUGGCAUCCAUGAGGACACAGGUUCAAUCCCUGGCCUCGGUCAGUGGGUUAAAGAUCCGGCAUUGCCGUGAGCUGUGGUGUAGGUCACAGACGCAGCUCUGAUUCGAACCCUAGCCUGGGAACCUCCAUUUGCCAUGAGUGUGGCCUUAAAAAGACAAAAAAAAAAAAAAAAAUACCUAGAAGAAAACAGGUAAAAAUGUGAGCCACAUAGACAGUUUGUUCUGUUCAACAAAGUACUAAUUCAAAAUAUAAGUAUGUGAAAAAUUGUCAUUUUAAUAGAAAAAAGUCAUAUCUGUUUUAACUUUCAGUUCUAUAAUCAUGAGUAAAGUUGGGCUUCUUUUCAUGUGUUUAUUGGCCAUUUAUAUUUUUGAUCUGUUCUUAUACUUUGCCCACUUCAUAUUAUAUAUUUUUAUUGCUGUGUAGGGAUUCUGAUUAUUAACAAACAAUACUAUUGGUCUGCUAGAUACAUUCUGUUGCUUGCCUUUCUGUACCAACUUACAACAGCAUAGAACUAUAAAUUCUAUCAAAUAUGCAAUCUCUUUGUUUAUAAAUUCUAGAUUUCAUACCUACUUAUAAAAGCAUUUUUUCCUGCUCAAGUUAAUAAUAUAAUAUUACAGCAGAUAUGAAAAACAUGCAAUAUAAUUAUGUGUCUUGAUGUGGGGGGGUCUAUAUUAAUUAUCUUUGCGAUAAGUCCAACAUCCUAACACAAAGUACUGAAUCAUCUGUCCUUUCCUCACUUCAGGCAAACUUUGGAUAUAUUCAAUUGGUGUAUGUUCUUAGAUCUGUGUCAGACUCUCAACUCUGUUGCAUGAAAUUAUUUGUUUGUUUUCAUGCCAGAAUUAUAAACAUUAAGUUAUAGUAACUUCUUGUUUUCUAUCUGUCUGAGAGGGUGAACGCCACACUCAUUCUUAUUUUUCAAAAUAUUCUUGUCUACUUUCAUGCAGGUUUGUAAUUUUUUUAUUAUUUGUUUGUCUUCUGUAGAUAAAUAUUGGAAUAAGCUUGACAAGUUCUCCCAAAAUUCCACUGGAGUUACAUUGGAAUGUCAUUGGAUUUAAGAAAAUAAUUGAAAAGACUGACAUUGUUCAAAUAUGGUCUUCCUAACUAAUGGUGUUAUUUAUCCAUACAUUUAUUCAGGUCUUAUUUUACAUCCCCUUGUAAGGUUGGUUUGCUUAUUUGUUUGUUUGUUUGCUGUGCCCACAGUAUGAGGAAGUUCCUGGGUUAGGGAUCGAACCUCUGCCACAGCAGCAACCUGAGUAACAGCAGUGACAAUGCCAGAUCCUUAAUGCAUUGAGCCACCAGGGAACUCUUAUAAUGUUUUAUAGUUUUGUUUUGUUUUUUUUCCCCAGAAAUGUCUUGUACCUUAAAUUUAUUCUUAGCUCUUUGGCACUUUUUAUGGUCCAUGUGAAUGGGCUAUUUUUCAUUUCAUUUUCUAAGUAUUUAUUACAAGUACAAAAGGAAGCCAUCCAUUUUGGACAUUAAGCUUAUGACUCUUUAGUUAAUUGCCUAUUGGUUUUAAUACAUUAUCCCACCACCAUCUUGCAUUCAGUACAACAAUCAACCACUUCUAUUGAAAUAUUUGUAACAUCUCUGUGUCAUCUACAGAUAAUGUCUGAUCUGCCUUUGUGUCGAUAAAACACAGAGGGGUUAAAUAAAUAUUUAUUAGUUUAAUGAAUGCUGAUUCUUAAAUAUACAUUUUAAUCUUGUCCACAGUUUACAGGUUGAAUUUCCAACUG
rnacentral:lncRNA from 1 species